AGUGAACGCUGGCGGUAGGCCUAACACAUGCAAGUCGAACGGCAGCACAGUAAGAGCUUGCUCUUACGGGUGGCGAGUGGCGGACGGGUGAGGAAUACAUCGGAAUCUACUUUUUCGUGGGGGAUAACGUAGGGAAACUUACGCUAAUACCGCAUACGACCUACGGGUGAAAGCAGGAGAUCUUCGGACCUUGCGCGUUUGAAUGAGCCGGUGUCGGAUUAGCUAGUUGGCGGGGUAAAGGCCCACCAAGGCAACGAUCCGUAGCUGGUCUGAGAGGAUGAUCAGCCACACUGGAACUGAGACACGGUCCAGACUCCUACGGGAGGCAGCAGUGGGGAAUAUUGGACAAUGGGCGCAAGCCUGAUCCAGCAAUACCGCGUGAGUGAAGAAGGCCUUCGGGUUGUAAAGCCCUGUUGUUGGGAAAGAAAAGCAGUAGGUUAAUACCUCGCUGUUCUGACGGUACCCAAAGAAUAAGCACCGGCUAACUUCGUG
rnacentral:rRNA from 1 species